GACGAACGCUGGCGGCGUGCCUAACACAUGCAAGUCGAACGAAAAGUCCGGGUCUUUGGGCGCACGGCUGCGUAAGCCGUGGGGAUCUGCACUUGGGUUCGGCAUACCUGUGAGAAAUUAAUGCUAAUACCAGAUGGGGUCUUAGGACCAAAGAUUUAUUGCCCCGGGCUGAGCGCUCGUAAGAUUCGGUGGUUGGUAGGGUAAUCGCCUACCAAGGGCACGAUGCUUAGCUGGUCUGAGAGCAUGAUCAGCCACACUAGGGGUAGGACCCGGCCCAGACUCGUACGCAAGGCAGGAGAGGGGAAUAUAGUACGGUGGGGGCAGGCCUGAUCCUGCAAUGCCGCGUAAGUGAUGAAGUCCGUAGGGAUGUAAUGUGCUUUUACCCGGGAUGAUAAUGACGGUACCGGGUGAAUAAGCUCCGGCUAACUACGUG
rnacentral:rRNA from 1 species